UUAGCAGCCUUGGAGCGUGAAGUCCUCUAUAUACAGAACAGAGACAACAUAAGCAGUUGCUGUGCAAUGUGCCCCAGAUGGCCCUGACAAGGUGCCUGAACACUGACUUAGAGGGACUACUUUUAGGGAUGAAAGGGCUAGUUCAGUUUUCAUGUCCAUUCAGUCCUUGCCUUCU
ensembl:misc_RNA